AGCGGCGGACGGGUGAGUAACGCGUGGGUAACCUGCCUCAUACAGGGGGAUAACAGUUAGAAAUGACUGCUAAUACCGCAUGAGACCACGGUACCGCAUGGUACAGUGGUAAAAACUCCGGUGGUAUGAGAUGGACCCGCGUCUGAUUAGGUAGUUGGUGGGGUAACGGCCUACCAAGCCGACGAUCAGUAGCCGACCUGAGAGGGUGACCGGCCACAUUGGGACUGAGACACGGCCCAG
rnacentral:rRNA from 1 species